GGUCUGGCGGGUGGCGCCUACACUGCGGUCACAGUUGAGAGGCGAAGACCUGAGUGCGCGUUUCCAACAUGGUUUUCGUCGCAUUACAAAACAUCCUCACCGCCAUCUGGGCACUUGGUCGCGUCGUCAGCAUCGCUGCUGAGGCAGUGUGCCCGCCACUGCGGUCUCUCACGGUGCGGGUGGAGUGCGUCCGGGGCUCCGAGCGCGUCAACUGCACGGAGCAGCCCUCCGCUCCAGGAACGGUGGCCAACUUCAAGUGCAAGGACUUACACCAGCUGGUGUUCGACUUCCAGCCUCCCGCCGGCUUCGAGUCUCACUGUGGCUCGGAUGGCGAGUGGAGCGUCCUGCCGUUUCGCUGCGCGCCAAUUUGCGGUCGUCCAACGGGGAAGCUGACGGCGCUGGUGCGUGAUGGAGAAGUUGUAACUUCCGCCGCGGACUUCCCAUGGCACGUGACGGUGUACGACAAGGAGCAGAACAUGAGGCAAAUCUGUGGCGGCUCCCUCGUCUCGCCUAAGUUCUUCGUGUCCGCGGCCCACUGCUUCUACUUCGAGAACCCCACCACCGAACCCCAACGCCUACCCGCCGAACGGUUCAUGGCAGGCUUCGCAAAGACAAAUAUCAACGCUAACGUGACCGAGCUAGGGGCGCAGUUCCGGGCGGUGUCGCAUAUUCACACUAAGAACUACGGCGGCGUGAAGCUCCACUACGCUAACGACAUCGCGCUGCUGGAGCUGGAGAGCGAGGUGGCCGUGACUGCCUGGACGUUACCUGUGUGCGUCGACUGGAAUGGGGACCUGCCGGACCUACGCGGUGGCGAGGAGGGCACAGUUGUCGGGUUCGGCCAAACUUUGCUGCGAAGUGAAAACCUGUGCUACGCCAGGUUGCCGUACAUGGAAAGGGAAGUGUGCCAGCAACUCGUCGGCAAAAGUUUUGAAAUCUACAACACUAUGCCCGACAAGUUCUGCGUGGGAUACGUCAACAACACAACCGUGGCCAAAGGUGACAGUGGGGGAGGUAUGGCCUUCCCCUACAGGGACCGCGCGUGGUACCUUCGCGGUGUGGUGUCCGUCGGGAGCGUCUCGAAGAUUACGCUCUCCUUUUUCACCAACGUGACGACCUUCUUGCCGUGGAUGUCCGGCUUCGUCCAAAAGGGCGUGCUGAGUGCGCGCCACUGCGGCGUGGACGUGGCCGAGUCCGACGUCGUGGACGGCGCCACAGCGGGCCGCCAGGACUUCCCCUGGGAGGUGGACGUGUACUUGAAGCAAACCUCGGGCCAUGCUUUCGAGAGGCUGUGGUCUGGCGUCCUAAUCAAGCCAAACUUGGUCAUCACCUCGAAAAAGCAGAACCUGGGUAGGAGUGAUAACCUUCUAUUGCGCUUGAUUUUCCUGACUGAAUACCCGGCGUCCGCAUUCCGAGUUGCUUCGCGCCGAAACGCCCAUUCCUCUCUGACUCUGGACGGCACUUCGGGUUAUGUGAGUGAGGUUCUGCGCCUGAUCGAACCGAAGGACGUGCAAACCUACGCCGGCCGCUACGACUUCAUCGUCCUGGAGCUGAAGCAGCCCCUGAACCUGAUGCCGGUGUGCGUGGACUGGACGGGCAGCGCCCAACUACAAAAGCAACGUGUGGGAACGACCUUUUUCGAGACGCCGUCGAAGAACAGUCGCAUGUGGAAACGAUUAUCACUCCUGAAGGGCAACGGUACCCAGUGCAACUUUGCUAGCUUCUACUUUUGCACUUUCCAUCAAGGAAUGGAACCAGCCCAUCGAUCGCGCAGCAUCUUGGUCAAUGUUUACGACUCGUGGUACUUGAGGGGCGUUUGGGGCAUAAGCUCAGAUACAAGCACUCCUCGGGACGGAAACGGUUCUCUGGCAUUGUUCACGGAGAUGUCUGACCCGGAUGUGUUGCGGUUUCUGGUUGAAAUCAAGGACAGGUUAGGCAAGCCCACGUGCGGAAACGUCAACCUCUGCGAGCCGCUACUGGGGCUGAAGCAACGGCCCGGGCACAUGCCGUGGAACGUGGCGGUGGCAGGCAGGGGAGGCGAAGUCGUCGGGUCAGGGCUGCUACUGCAUCCAAAGCUCGUGGUCACAGCUCGCGUGAUCCUGAAAGCAGCCCCGGGUGGGACGACGGUCAACAAUUUCUCCCCCAACACUCAGAGAAAAAUUAUGGUGUACAGUACAGAACAGGACGGCACAACAAAAGCAGCAUCGGUGGUUCGGGUGGCCAUGUACGGGGAGAGCACUUGGAGCAUAGGCAGUAGUCGCAACCCCGUGCUCUUGGAGCUGGCUGCCGAGGACGCCAUCUUCUCCACGCCGGUGUGCCUGGACCUCAGCGGUAACGUGCUGCAACCGCUUGUUCCAGGACUGGUAGGGUUGGUAGAGCGGUGGGGCGAGACGCAGCCAGCGAACCACAGUAUGAUUGGCGUGCCAUAUCUGGGUCUGGAUGAGUGCGUCAGAAAACAGGCUGACUACGACAGAGACGUGGCAGCGAGCGAUCUGUUCUGUACGGAAGGACCAAAUGGCUCCAUCGGUAACAAGACGCAAGGUGGCGGUUUCCUGGUGAACACCAACUCCCUGUGGUACUUGCAGGGACUGUAUGUGGAUUAUGUGGUGCAGCGUUCAUCCGACCUGCUACUGGCCGCAGACAUGAGCAACGAGAAGUUGCGGUCCUGGUUGGGUCAGGAGAUGAAGAAACUGGAGAACCCAAAAGAGGAGCGCAUUGCCGACCAGGGACCAAAGAACUGCCAGUACGGGCGGCCUGACAUAUCUCAUUGCGGCGUGUUCGUGUCCGUGAACGAGCACCCCGAGGACGAUGGCUUCGACCUCUACAGCAGGGCGUCGUCCGACCACAUGCGGUGGAACGUCCACGUGCUCGUGGACUACGAUGCCAACGGCUGGAUCUGGAGCAUGCAUGGAGGCGCCUUGAUCAAGCCCAACAUGGUUCUCACGACUGCCAGGCACCUCGUCGUCGCGAGCGCGGCUUCAAACAACACCGUGGAGCCGAUUCCUACCAGCGCUGUGCUCGUCAAGUACACUCCCGUGGACCGCAGGGAACGGCGCACCGCAGAGGUGCAGCGAAUCCACAUCCGAGCGCGACCCAGGGCCCAGCCUCAGGACUCCACCCACGACCUCGCCGUGCUUGUGCUCAAGACCGCCGUGCCCCUCACGCCCGUGUGCUUGCCGUUGCCGGCUGGCAGCGUGCCGCGGCUCGCAGCGGGUUCGGUUGGCCUGGUUGAGUACAAUGCCGACAGCAUCGACUCUGCAAGCAUCAACUCGUUGGUGCCCGUCCACUACCGCACCACGGACGAGUGCAAUGGCCUCCUCAAUUCCACCAACGCGGUUUCAUGGGCUGAGGACGAAUUCUGCGCUGAGACUUAUUUCGUGGACAUGAAUGAGGGUGACGCAGCUGGGAUCGCGCCAAUGGGCUACGCGCUUUCCGUCAUGACCAACGGCCGGUGGUAUCUCCGCGGCGUGUUGAGCAGCUCACGGCGGGGAGACAUUCACUUAUUUGCUAGCCUGGAUGACCCCGACGUUCUCGAGUGGCUGGUCGCCGUCGGUCACUUCGCCAUUCCGGAGGGCGAAGCAGGUGGGAAGCUGGGCCAAGGGACCUCCAGGACCAGCGCGAGCACUCCGUCCGCGACGGAAAUGACCAUUUUGGCGCCGAGGAACGACGUGCCUACAACGCCGCGCACUGAUGCGCCUCGACGCGAGAUGCCAACAUCCUGGUGGUUCCCAAUGGGCGGAGGAACGACUCCGGCGACGUCCGGCUAAAGACCGCAGAUAUGCUGUACGUGGUGUGGGUUAGCCCCAAAGGAAAGAAGACGAAGGUUGAGGUGACCUCCCUGCAAGUGCACGAGAGCGACCACGCACCAGCCCGCGACCGUGCUUGGGACCUGGGCCUGUUGGUGCUCAAGACCCCCAUCAAGAAUGGUGUCUUCCCCUGCCUCGACCUGGACGGCUCCGCGCCAAAUCAGC
rnacentral:misc_RNA from 1 species